UGGGCAACCUGCCCCUCUCUCUGGGAUAACCCCCGGGGAAACCGGAGCUAAUACCGGAUACUCCGGCUGGAUCGCAUGGUCCGGCCGGGAAAGGUCCGCCGGAGAGGGAUGGGCCCGCGGCCUAUCAGCUUGUUGGUGGGGUAGUGGCCUACCAAGGCGACGACGGGUAGCCGGCCUGAGAGGGCGACCGGCCACACUGGGACUGAGACACGGCCCAGACUCCGUACGGGAGGCA
rnacentral:rRNA from 1 species